rnacentral:rRNA from 1 species
UACGUAGGGUGCGAGCGUUGUCCGGAAUUAUUGGGCGUAAAGAGCUCGUAGGCGGUUUGUUGCGUCGGCCGUGAAAACCUGCAGCUUAACUGUGGGCCUGCGGUCGAUACGGGCAGACUUGAGUUCGGUAGGGGAGACUGGAAUUCCUGGUGUAGCGGUGAAAUGCGCAGAUAUCAGGAGGAACACCGGUGGCGAAGGCGGGUCGCUGGGCCGAUACUGACGCUGAGGAGCGAAAGCGUGGGGAGCAAACAGG